UUAAUGUAACGCUCUUUCGGGUUUUCACUACAGUCGACUUUUCCCGUCAUUUUUAUCCGUGGUGUUCGUUCAAAAUUUCACCACAUCCCACGUGUUUGAUCUUGCCUGUCCCUUGGCAGCUAUGUUGUUUUUACCAUUGGCACCCUUUUGGGUUUUCACUACCUCCACUAUCUACACAUUGUUUUUACUCAGAGUGCCUUUACGGGUUUUCACUCCGCCCCUUUUGUUUAGGCACACCUUUUCUUUUUUGUAUUCUUCCUUCGAUUUCUAUAGCGGUGGAAGGGUUGGGAUUCCAUCCUUACCGACCGAUUGACAGUCUUUCCAACCUUGUCCUAAGUUACCAUGGCAAAGCCAUUUACUCAAGCCAGGUUCAUCUUGAGGGGUGAAGGGAUGGUUGUUUCUGCCUAUGGGGUCAAUUUCUCUCUCUCUCUCUCUCUCUCUCUCUCUCUCUCUUUCUUACUGUUUUUCCCUUCAUGUUUUUGUUCUUAUUUCCUCUCUUCUUUUCCUCUUUAAUUCUUUUUCUCUUUACUUUUUUCUCCUUUUUCUCUUUGCUUUUUCUCUCCUCGUUGGCUUUUUUCUUUGCCUUUGAUUUUGUGGCACUUAUUGGGGGACGUGAUGAUGGUUUUUAAGAUGACCAGCUUUGGCUAAUAGACUUCAGCUUUGUUAAUGUAACUUUAAACAGGGCUAUAUUAACUUAUCCGUGAAAGAUUUUCACGUUAUUGGCAUUGAUGGGCUUUGGAAGAUCCUCUCUCCCGUCAUAUUGGUGAGACAGAGGGCGCCUCCCAAAAGAACUUCUCGUAUGAUCAGUGGUCCUUCCCAUGAGGGUUUGAACUUUCCUCAGAGUUAUGGUUGGUGCGAUGGUAGAAUAUACUUCAUGACCAUGUCACCCACCUUUAAGCUCCUCUUUCGAACUCUCAUAUGUAAGCUCGAGUGAUCAUUUUCUGAUAGCAAUGGUAAUGACUUACUGCACACAUGUGCUUUUUGUCUUUGAGAUGUAGCCAAUUGUAUCUGGCUCACUACCAUUCCCCUUCCUCAACUUCACUUUCUAGCAGUAAUCAUCGAGGCAGAUUUCCACCUUGACUAAUAGGACUGCCUCCAUUUCGUAUGUAAGCUCGAAAGUAGUUGCACUCGUAGUAGAUCGUAUGGAUGUUCGAUCCAGAGUGCAUAUGGAAGCAUUUCUAACCUAUCCUGAUAUGUCUUGACCAUCAUCUUGAGUAUUCUGAUGAUUGUCUUGUUGACGGCUUUGACCCCACAUUCAUUUGGAAGCGGUAGGGGUUCGACCAAUGGUGUUAAAUUUUGUACCUUUCGUGAAAAUCGUUUAUCUUCUUUGUUGAUGAGGGUGGCUUGUUGUCGGUGAUGAUGGCGUGUGAGAACCAUACUGGUAGAUGAUGUUGAUCUUUAUGAAUUUCACCACAUGAGACACUACUAUAGUGGUGUAGGAUGUUACUUAUACCCACUUCGUGGCCAUUUGAAGCAUUUGAGUUUACCUUCCCAAUGAUGUCGAGUCCCCAUAUAGAGAAAGGCCAGGGUGUAGUCAAAUUGUAUAGUUCCGACGCAGGGGCAUGGAUUUGAUUUACAUGCUCCUUACACUUGAAACACUUUCUGACGUGUCGGCAAUAGUCUGCCUCUAUAGUUAACAAAUAGUAGCCAAGUCAUAGAAUCUUCUUUGCCAUCAUGUACCCAUUCAUGUGUGGGCCACAUACUCCACCGUUGAUUUCGUCCAUGAUUUUGCAUCUUCGGCUUCAUCCAUGCACCGAAGGAGGACUUGAUUAAAUGAUCACUUGUAUAGAACUUCACUGCUGAUAAUGAAUUGUCCCGCCAAACGAUGGAUGGUUCGGCAGUCUGUCGUUGUAGCUUCUUCUAGGUAUUCCUGGCUUUCUAGGUAGCGCUUGAUGUCGGUAUUUGGGGGCUUGUUGCUGGGAGCGGCUUUAGCCUCUUCAAUUUGCAAGUAGAAGAUUGAUUCAUCUUGUAUCUUGACUGUGAGCUCCCAUUCGGAAACUCCUUUUGAAAUAUCUAGCAUUGAUGCUAAGGUGGUGAGAGCAUUUGCGAACUUAUAUAUUAUUAGCUCGUGGCAUGCAUGAGAAUGUGAUUUCUUCGAACUCUUCGGUCAGAUUUUUGAGAUAUACAUGAUAUAGGAUCAACUUCUCAUCUUUAGUCUUUCAAACACCAUUAGUUUGAUUAAAAGCUGUGGGUCUUAAAAAACCGUAGUUUCUUUACACCUAAGAUUAUGGUUUCCUUUAGACCGUCAAUACAAACUUCGUAUUCCGUCACAUUAUUGGUGCAAUUGAAUGCUAAGGGGCCUGUUUGGUCCGUGGGAUUAAAUGGUAUGGAAUUGUACUAAAUAGGAUUAGCACCAUUAUUGAACAAUGAUUACAUGUCUAGAAAUACCAUGGUAGUUUGACCAUCUAAUCUCAUGUUUGGGAUAAAAUUCUUGCUAUGGGAAAAACACUAGAUUAAGCAAAACCCCGUUUGGUGGACCAUAGAAUUGUAAUCAACGAACCAAAUUCACAACGUAUGUCGGUCACUUGUACAUGUAUAUAACUAGAAUGUCAUGUGUAAAGGGCGUAUAUUGAUGGACGACAUAGAUAAAACACAUGCAUCAAUGUGGAGCCCACAUGUGGAGUGGAUUUCAAAAUCCACUGAAUAUCCCACAUGGGACCAAAUGCAAUUCCAUCCCACAUAAUCCCAACCCUUCUCGUCCUCCCUAAAUGUUGGUUGGAUUUUGCAUGGGACUAAAUGCAAUUCCAUCUCCCCUAAUCCCAUAUAAGCCCACGUACCAAACAGACCCUAAUCGCCUUGAGAUUGGGAUGGGGAUGUUGUCGGGGGAGUAGAGGAUUGCUCCGAUCCCACUUCCCUUGGAGUUUGCAGCACCAUCGAAGAAAAGUGUCCACUCCCUUGUCUUCUUUUCUUCUUCCUCAAUAAGGAGAUCCUUGUCUAGGAAGGUCUUCAGUGGCUGGUAGUCCGGUAGCCGGUAGGGAAUGGGCUGCUAGGUGGUCGGCCAGUGCUUGCCUCUUGAUUGCCUUCUGAGUGACAUAGGUGAUGUCGAACUUAGAUAUAAGUAACUGCCAAUUUGUUCUUUCCAGUGAGUGCUGGCUUCUCGAACAUGUACUUAAGGGGGUCCAUGCGAGCGAGUAAAAGGAUGGGAAACACAAUCAUGUAUUGCAGGAGUUGCUGGGUUGCCCAGAUUGAGGUGAGACAUGUCUUCUUGAGUGCUAAAUAACAAGUCGCAUAAUUAGUGAACUUGCGGCUCAAAUAGUAUAUUGCUUGUUCAUUCCUUCCUAUUUCAUCAUGGUAAUCGAGGACGUAACUGAUUGUGUCCGUCGCGACCGAGAUGUAUAACAAUAGGAGGCAUCCUGGAGUUAGCGGCACUAGAAUUGACAGAUUCAUUAGGUAUGUCUUAAUUUUAUUAAAGGAAACUUGACAAUAAUCAUUCCAUUCUUUUGGCAAAUUCUUGUGAAAGAAUUUGAAUAUUGGCUCACAGAUAGGAGUGAGCUGUGCAAUGAAGCGACUGAUGUAUUGGAUUUUACCUAGGAAGCCCCAAAUUACUUUUUGUCUUUGGAGGCAUCUCAAUGAUGGCUUUUGUCUUUGUUUCGUCAACUCUGAUGCCUUCCACACUUACUAUGAAGCUAAGAAGUUUGCCUUUAGUUGCACUGAAGACACAUUUUUAUAGGUUAAGGCGAAGUUUAAACUUUUCCAACAAGCUGAAGAGCUUCUUCAGGUCUUUGAAGUGCCUUUCAAUCCACUACAAAAAAAUUGACCAAAGCCAAUGGUCGCAUGGUAGUUUCCUCGACGACUUUUAGCCCUCAGAGUCACCGACAGCUUUUUUCCAUUGGCUAAUCACAAUAAGCUGUCGACGAAUGCGAAUUAAACCCUUAUUGUGAGUUCACUACCAAAAAAGGUUCUCUAUGGGGUCCACCACAAUGUGUGUGUUUUAUCUAAGCCAUCCAUUCAUUUUGAUAACUCAUUUUAGGGCAUGAGCAAAAAAAAAAGAGGUAGAUCGAAGGCCCAAGUGGACCACACUGUAGUAAACAAUGGAGAUUUUCUACCAUUGAUAUGUGGCGUGGUCCACUUUGGGCUUCCACCUGCCUUUUUUUUUUGACCAUGCCCUAAAAUGAACUAUAAAAAAUGGAUGGACGUAGUGGAUAAACCACAUACAUCAUGGUGGCGCCACGAGCCCCUAACAAGAGCAUUCAUCUCUAUAUACGUGUGGGGGUAGUACCCAAUCCAUGCCCAAAAAAGAGCCCGCGAUAAUGAAAUAAUUCUCGCGGGUUCUCUUCCCUUUCUCUAUCCCUCCUCUCUCUCUUAGGGCUACAAUGACUCAAGCAAGGCUCCUUCUCUCUAAGCAGCUCAGAGAUCUCAACAAGUAUCCGGUGGAUAGAUUAUUGGCUGGUUUGAUUGAUGACUUCUUUGAAUGGAAUGUCAUGAUCAUAGGUCCAACCCGAUAUUAUCUACGAUGGAGGCUAUUUUAAUGCCAUCAUGAGGUUCCCGGAAAAUUACCCGAAUAGUCCUCCAUCAGUGAGGUUUACAUUGGAGAUGUGGCAUCUUAAUGGUAUGGGUAUGCCACUCCAAAUGAUGUCCUGGCUUUGCUUAAGCAGCAUAUUGGCAGAGGAGAAGUUGUAGACGCACUGUGAAGGUAUAUGUUUAACUUGUGAAAACAAGUCAGCAAUAAAGAAGGAAGCAACAAAAUGGCAGGACGGGAGAGAUAUCUGGUGGAUACUGUCCCACAAUAUCCAACGACGUCUGAAGUGGUGUGGGUUGAUGCAGAUGAUGUUCUUUUUCUCUUGUGUACCAGUGGGAGCACUGAAAAGCCGAAGGGUGUUCCGCAUACAAUAGGGGGUAUAUGAUAUACACUGCUACAACAUUUAAAUAUGCAUUUGACUACAAACCAUCAGAUAUCUACCGGUGCACUGCUGAUUGUGGUGGAUCUGAGAGUGCAUUUUGUUUUGUUUUGUUUUGUUUUGUUUUUUUUUUUUUCUUGCACAAGGGCCUGUGUAGAGUUACAAUGAUCUGAUUUUUUGUGGACACGGUGUUGAAAAUUUAAAUUCUGGUUUCACUUUGAAACCACAUUUGGACUGAACUUGCUGACAUCAACACACGCGAAUUCACACAGCACAGGGAUGGGAUAGACUUGGUAUUUGAGAAAUCUCAUUACAGCUAUCAUGAAUAAAUUAUACUUCUUCUGUCUUCAUAA